GAUGAAGAACGUAGCGAAAUGCGAUAAGUAAUGCGAAUUGCAGAAUUCCAGUGAGUCAUCGAAUCUUUGAACGCACAUUGCGCCCUUUGGUAUUCCGAAGGGCAUGCCUGUUCGAGCGUCAUUAUCACCCCUCAAGCCCUCGGCUUGGUGUUGGACGGUUUGGUGGAGGCCCCCUCGGGGGCUCCUGCCCCUCCCAAAGACAAUGACGGCGGCCUCGUUGGACCCCCGGUACACUGAGUUCUUCACGGGACACGUAUCGGACACAUGGGUUUACGGGACACGGUCUGCCUCCCCUCAGGGAGAAUCUUUCUAAGGUUGACCUCGGAUCAGGUAGGGAUACCCGCUGAACUUAAGCAUAUCAAUAACGGAGGA
rnacentral:misc_RNA from 1 species